rnacentral:rRNA from 1 species
CACGUAGGCACCAAGCGUUGUCCGGAUUUAUUGGGCGUAAAGAGCUCGUAGGCGGUUCGGUAAGUCGGGUGUGAAAACUUUGGGCUCAACCCAAAGCCUGCACUCGAUACUGCUGUGACUUGAGUCCGGUAGGGGAGUGGGGAAUUCCUGGUGUAGCGGUGGAAUGCGCAGAUAUCAGGAGGAACACCGGUGGCGAAGGCGGCACUCUGGGCCGGUACUGACGCUGAGGAGCGAAAGCGUGGGGAGCGAACAGG